rnacentral:tRNA from 1 species
CGGACCCUGGCCAAGGUCAUGGGGCUGAGCCCCUUCGGGUGGGCCUUCGCGGCCCCUGGUCUCAUGGCCACCGGUUCCGUGCCGGCGGCACUGGC